rnacentral:lncRNA from 1 species
AUGGUUCCACCACCCCUCCACCGCACAUGGGAAAAUGAGCAGUCUAGCCAUAUGGAGAUGGGAUGGCGCAAAGGCAGUGCCAUCUCCAAGGGCACAUUUACUCACCUGCAGAGGGACUAUUCCUGUGCGGAGCAGAGUGGCUGUGUCACAUCAUUGGAUCUGAAGAUAGAAAGAAGGUACAAGGGCGUGUACCAGAAUUUUUCAAGCAGAUCUCUAUUAAGCCUCUUGCUUAAAAGAGAUGGAAACUCAACUUAAACAAGGUUAGAAAAAAAAAUUUUUUUUAAAGGAUUAAUUGUAUAUCUUAGUCAAAAAAGUCAGGGAUAGAACUUACCAGAUAUGCUUGAAUAUACACAAAGGAUAUCAUUAAACAGUAUCUCCUUCUAUCUCAGCUCUUCUUUCUUAUUUUUUUUGGCUUCAUUCUCAAGCAGGCUAUUUCCAUCAUGCUGACAGGAUGUUUGCUCACUGCAAAAUGGUUACCCUGGUUCAUAUCUUUACAGCUUAGCAAGCUUCAUAGAAAGAGAGACUCUCUUUGCCAAAAGUUCCAAUGAUGAUAUAGGACUGGGUCUCAUUGAACCAGUGUGGGUCCUGUGUCAAUACCUGAACCAAUUGUGAUGUCCAGGAAGUCAAAUAAGUUCAUUUCAGUUACUAUUAUCACUUAGACUGAGCCAUCCUGGAUCUUUGAUGAGGGGGGUAGAGCGUAGGAUGCAGGCAACUCUAUCUGGGAAAGGCAGGCUGAGAUAAUGGUAUGGUUCACCCUUCACCAAAUCUGUUUUCUCUUCUUCCUACAUACAUAUUCUAAUUAUAUUUUUCAGCCUCCUUAACAGUUGGCUAUGUCCACAUGACUGAGUUCUAGCCAAUGGGAGGUAAGAGGAAGUAGGUAUUCCUUAUACAUCAAUCAAAACCUCUCAGCCAAAUUUGGAAUUCAUGGCUAGAAGAUGGCGGGGACACAAACAGAAAGAGUCCGAGUACCUAAUC